AAUCUCCUGGUAAAAGCCUGAGGGGAUUCAGAUCUGCUCCUGAUUCUGGGAGAGAGGCAAAAACUAGAGAAUACAGAGGUGUCCGUUUCUUCAAUGUAUUCAUUGGUUGGCCGUGACGGACACAUGACGCUCGAGUGCUUGCUAACUCGAAUCUAUACCGCCUAGCAGAGGACAAGCAAGGGGGCUACCUUUUUCCAAGAGAGAAAACUACAUUUGUGGACGGAGUGGAAAUCCCGGUACACAUAAUUGGUGAUGCAGCCUACCCGUUAUGGCAAUGGCUCAUGAAGGGGUUCACCCAACAUGUCCAGCUGAGCCCCAAUCAAAUUACAUAUACGCACACUCUGAGCUAGGCGAGAAUGGUGGUAGAAAAUGCCUUUGGACGAUUAAGAGGACGUUGGCGCUGUCUUAUGAAGCGCAAUGAUGUAAACAUUACCAUCAUGUCUAACAUUGUUGCAGCAUGUUGUAUUCUGCAUAACCUAUGUGAAUUUCAGAGGGGGGAAUUCUUACCAGAGUGGACAGUGCAGGACUCCGUUGUGUACCCAGCACUUGAUUGUGAGUCCUAUUUGGGUGACCAUUCUGGAAGUGCAGAACAGAUGAGUUCUGCUAUAAUAACCAACCUUCCCUCAUUACUCCGUUAAGUUUUUUCAGUUUUUAUAUUCUGUUAAUUGUUGUUGCUUCAAAAAAUAA